rnacentral:rRNA from 3 species
CAACUUUCAGCAACGGAUCUCUUGGCUCUCGCAUCGAUGAAGAACGCAGCGAAUUGCGAUAAGUAAUGUGAAUUGCAGAUUUUCAGUGAAUCAUCGAAUCUUUGAACGCACCUUGCGCUCCUUGGUAUUCCGAGGAGCAUGCCUGUUUG